GCUUCAGAUGGAUAAAUGCCUGUGCACAAAAUACCAUUAUGCUGUGUAAUAGAACUAUGCUUAGCCACAGUAGCUAGCUAUAGCUAUCGUUCUCAAUAUGUUGUUCAAAUCAAGUUUUAUUUGUUUACUAGCUAGCAUGCUAUCGCAUGACAUGUUGUAAUCUUUCCUGGUUGUUUGGUCAUGGGUCUUAUUUAAUUUGACAGUUUCAGGAAUAUUUAUUGCAUUAAAUUUAACUAUCAAUUAGCCGCUGGCUAAUUUAGUAUCGACAGGCUAACGCUGCGUUCACAACCAAGUACGAAGGUGGUAUUUAGUAGUUACAUAAAGAAACGUGUCUAUUAUUCAUGUUCUCCGACAUCUCCCACGUGCUGAUCUCUGACGUCACCUACUAAGAAAUAGCCUCGAUAACAGCAUUUUCUGCGGUAAAAUGUACAGUGUUUUUCCGCGAGUUCAAAGAGCUUGAAUGCCGCCUACGGGCAAAUACCACCUUCCCACUUGGAUAUGAACUCAGCAUAAUGGUCUGACAAAAUCCCAAAAUGUUCAAACCUGGAAGGAACUCUUCCUCUAGUUCUAUACUGACUUGGGUCACUACAUUGAUCACUAUGGCACCCUGAAUAAAGCCUGGGAUGACCUGAAGAGAUACCUUGACCCCAGGAUGAUCGCCUCUCUCAAAGAGGGAGCAAAGGAAGAGCUGGAUGGCAUUGAGGCGCAGUUUAAUGGGAAGCAUGGCCCUGUCUAACCACUAUCGCUCAGAGGACCUGCUGGAUAAUGAAACGGCAGCAGGUGGCUUUAAGCAGCGCAAGGGCAUGAGGCCGUGUUUGCCCCUCACCUUCUGCUUCCACACAGGCCUCAGCCAAUACAUGGCCCUGGAGGGCACCGCAGCGAGAUCUUCUACCACUGCCCGGUCAGUUUCCAUAUGACCCCAGCCCCCGCCCCCAUUACAACAGGGAGACAGACUUUUAUUCUCACACACAGGUUAUGGAUGAAAAUAAUAAGAAAGUCUGUAGCAUCGCUUAGUAAUGAUAAACAACUCCUUAAUUUGAGCUUUAUAUAACUUAUUUAAAAACAUUUAUUUCACCUUUAUUUAACCAGGUAGGCAAGUUGAGAACAAAUUCUCAUUUACAAUUGCGACCUGGCCAAGAUAAAGCAAAGCAGUUUGACGCAUACAACAACACAGAGUUACACAUGGAGUAAAACAAACAUAAUAAUACAGUAGAAAAAUUAGUCAAUAUACAAUGUGAGCAAAUGAGGUGAGAUAAGGGAGGUUAAAGGCAAAAAAGUCGAUGGUGGCGAAGUAAAUACAAUAUAGCAAGUAAAACACUGGAAUGGUAGAUAUGCAUUGGAAGAAUGUGCAAAGUAGAGAGAAAUAAUGGGGUGCAAAAUAAAUAAAUACAGUAGGGGUAGAGGUAGUUGUUUGGGCUAAAUUAUAGAUGGGCUAUGUACAGGUGCAGUAAUCUGUGAGCUGCUCUGACAGCUGGUGCUUAAAGCUAGUGAGGGAGAUAAGUGUUUCCAGUUUCAGAGAUUUUUGUAGUUUGUUCCAGUCAUUGGCAGCAGAGAACUGGAAGGAGAGGCGGCCAAAGGAAGAAUUGGUUUUGGAGGUGACCAGAGAGAUAUACCUGCUGGAGCGCGUGCUACAGGAUCAAAUGGCACAAGAUCCAUCUGCAAUUGACAUGUUCAUCACAGGGGGUGAUACCAGAACAGUAGGAAUCUUUUCAUCGACGGAGGGAGGACUCCAAGAAACGCCAAGAGCCGGGGACCUGCCUGAGCGCCUGCGAUAGGCUGAGCAAGUUUAAACCACGCCCAGCCUGUACUGUGAUAGGCCAACAGACGGGUUGGAACCAUGUCUAUCACAGUAUAAGAACACUGUUUACGUACAUCCUGUCAGUUCCCUGUUCUGCCCUGCGUGGUAUUACAGUGAGCCCGUAUAUACGAAAGUUGCAUUUGCCAUUUAUUACUUAGCUAAUAAAAAAUACAUAGUAUACAA